rnacentral:misc_RNA from 1 species
GAUGAAGAACGUAGCGAAAUGCGAUAAGUAAUGUGAAUUGCAGAAUUCAGUGAAUCAUCGAAUCUUUGAACGCACAUUGCGCCCGCCAGUAUUCUGGCGGGCAUGCCUGUUCGAGCGUCAUUUCAACCCUCAGGCCCCCGGGCCUGGCGUUGGGGAUCGGCGGAAGCCCCCUGCGGGCACAACGCCGUCCCCCAAAUACAGUGGCGGUCCCGCCGCAGCUUCCAUUGCGUAGUAGCUAACACCUCGCAACUGGAGAGCGGCGCGGCCACGCCGUAAAACACCCAACUUCUGAAUGUUGACCUCGAAUCAGGUAGGAAUACCCGCUGAACUUAAGCAUAUCAAUAAGCGGAGGC